GACGAACGCUGGCGGCGUGCUUAACACAUGCAAGUCGAACGAAGUGGCGAACGGGUGAGUAACGCGUAAUCAACCUGCCCUUCAGAGGGGGACAACAGUUGGAAACGACUGCUAAUACCGCAUACUGAAGGUGUGGAUUGCGUCUGAUUAGCUAGUUGGAGGGGUAACGGCCCACCAAGGCGAUGAUCAGUAGCCGGUCUGGAAGGAAGAACGGGCAAAAUGGGGCUGAGACAAGGCCCAGGCUCCUAGCGGAGGCAGACGUGGGGGAGUGUCCGCAAGGGGGGGAAUUCUGACGGAGCAACGCCGCGUGAGUGAAGAAGGCCGUCGGGUUGGAAAGCUCUGUUAAUCGGGACGCGGUACCGGAAUAGAAAGCCACGGCUAACUACGUGCCAGCAGCCGCGGUAAUAC
rnacentral:rRNA from 1 species